UACGUAGGUGGCAAGCGUUGCCCGGAUUUACUGGGUGUAAAGGGCGUGCAGCCGGGCUGACAAGUCAGAUGUGAAAUCCCGCGGCUCAACCGCGGAACUGCAUUUGAAACUGUCAGUCUUGAGUACCGGAGAGGUCAUCGGAAUUCCUUGUGUAGCGGUGAAAUGCGUAGAUAUAAGGAAGAACACCAGUGGCGAAGGCGGAUGACUGGACGGCAACUGACGGUGAGGCGCGAAAGCGUGGGGAGCAAACAGG
rnacentral:rRNA from 1 species